rnacentral:rRNA from 1 species
CAGUCGCCGCGGGAAUACGGAGGAUCCAAGCGUUAUCCGGAAUCAUUGGGUUUAAAGGGUCCGUAGGCGGUCUUGUAAGUCAGUGGUGAAAGCCCAUCGCUCAACGGUGGAACGGCCAUUGAUACUGCAGGACUUGAAUUAUUGGGAAGUAACUAGAAUAUGUAGUUUAGCGGUGAAAUGCUUAGAGAUUACAUGGAAUACCAAUUGCGAAGGCAGGUUACUACCAAUUGAUUGACGCUGAUGGACGAAAGCGUGGGUAGCGAACAGGAUUAGAUACCCCGGUAGUCCCUGUCUCUUAUAC